UUUGUAUUUCUUCGUCCGACAAAGGAUGUCUCAAUUUUGACUAAAUCUGAAUGCAUCUAUAUACUAUGUCAUGUAUAAAUACAUUCAAAUUUUGACAAACUUGAGACAUCUUUUAUUGAACGGAAGGAGUAUAGU
rfam:Brachypodium distachyon strain Bd21 chromosome 4, whole genome shotgun sequence.